rnacentral:rRNA from 1 species
GACGAACGCUGGCGGCGUGCCUAACACAUGCAAGUCUAGCGGAGCGGGGGACGGGUGAGUCAUGACUAGGACUCUGCCUUGUACAGGGGGAUAACGUCCGUAAACGGGCGCUAAUACAGCAUACUAUCAGAUGCGCCUAGGUCGGGUUAGAUAGUUGGUGGGGUAUAGGCCUACCAAGUCGACGAUCCUGAACUGUUCUGAGAGGAUGAGCAGGCACACUGGAACUGAGAGACGGUCCAUACUCAGCCGGGAGGCAGCAGUGGGGAAUAUGGGAAAAUGGGCGAAAGCCUGAUCCAGCCAUGACGCUUGUGUGAAGAAGGUCUUCGGAUUGUAAAGCACUGGAAGUUGGGAGGCGUUACCAACAGAAGAAGCACCAGCUAACUCAGUGCCAGCAGCCGCGGUAAUAC